rnacentral:rRNA from 1 species
UACGAAGGGGGCUAGCGUUGCUCGGAAUGACUGGGCGUAAAGGGCGCGUAGGCGGAGUGCUUUGUCAGGCGGGAAAUUCCAGGGCUUAACCUUGGGGCUGCGUUUGAGACGGGCAUUCUUGAGUAUGGAAGAGGGUCGUGGAAUUCCCAGUGUAGAGGUGAAAUUCGUAGAUAUUGGGAAGAACACCGGUGGCAAAGGCGGCGACCUGGUCCUUGACUGACGCUGAGGCGCGAAAGCGUGGGGAGCAAACAGG